rnacentral:rRNA from 1 species
UACGUAGGGGGCAAGCGUUGUCCGGAUUUACUGGGCGUAAAGAGCGCGCAGGCGGUCGUUCAAGUCGAGUGUGAAAGCCCCCGGCUCAACUGGGGAGGGUCACUCGAUACUGAUCGACUUGAAGGCAGGAGAGGGAAGCGGAAUUCCCGGUGUAGUGGUGAAAUGUGUAGAUAUCGGGAGGAACACCAGUGGCGAAGGCGGCUUCCUGGCCUGUUCUUGACGCUGAGGCGCGAAAGCUAGGGGAGCAAACGGG